rnacentral:rRNA from 1 species
AGCCCUUCGGGGUGGAUUAGUGGCGAACGGGUGAGUAACACGUGGGCAAUCUGCCCUUCACUCUGGGACAAGCCCUGGAAACGGGGUCUAAUACCGGAUAACACUCUGUCCCGCAUGGGACGGGGUUAAAAGCUCCGGCGGUGAAGGAUGAGCCCGCGGCCUAUCAGCUUGUUGGUGGGGUGAUGGCCUACCAAGGCGACGACGGGUAGCCGGCCUGAGAGGGCGACCGGCCACACUGGGACUGAGACACGGCCCAGACUCCUACGGGAGGCAGCAGUGGGGAAUAUUGCACAAUGGGCGAAAGCCUGAUGCAGCGACGCCGCGUGAGGGAUGACGGCCUUCGGGUUGUAAACCUCUUUCAGCAGGGAAGAAGCGAAAGUGACGGUACCUGCAGAAGAAGCGCCGGCUAACUACGUGCCAGCAGCCGCGGUAAUACGUAGGGCGCAAGCGUUGUCCGGAAUUAUUGGGCGUAAAGAGCUCGUAGGCGGCUUGUCACGUCGGAUGUGAAAGCCCGGGGCUUAACCCCGGGUCUGCAUUCGAUACGGGCUAGCUAGAGUGUGGUAGGGGAGAUCGGAAUUCCUGGUGUAGCGGUGAAAUGCGCAGAUAUCAGGAGGAACACCGGUGGCGAAGGCGGAUCUCUGGGCCAUUACUGACGCUGAGGAGCGAAAGCGUGGGGAGCGAACAGGAUUAGAUACCCUGGUAGUCCACGCCGUAAACGUUGGGAACUAGGUGUUGGCGACAUUCCACGUCGUCGGUGCCGCAGCUAACGC